CCUCGCAGCGCGCCGCCGGGUCCUCCGGCGCCGACGAUGUGGAGGGGCGGCGGGGAGAGGAGGGCCCUCUCCCCACGCCGCCGCGUUCGCGUCCUCGAGCGCCACCGCGGCCCCGCAGCAGGGGAGGGGCGGCUAGGGAAGCGAGGGAGGAGAGGGGAAGGGCAGCAAGGAAGCUAGGGAGGAGAUGGGAAGGGCAGCGGGGGAGCCAGGGGUGGCCGCGCUCACGACGAGGCUCUGGAGGCGCUAGCUGAAGGAGGAAGAAGGACGUCGUGACGACGAGUUAGCGGAAACGGGACGGAAUGCUAAUUUGAGGGUUUGACGCUUGCCUCCUCUACCCGAAAAGUCGGGGCCGAGGGGACCCCCGCGCUCGCCAAGAAGAAAAGGACACGGCGCCUGCCACCUGUGGGUUGGUGGAGGGAGGGAAAGGGAGUUGUGAAUCCGAAUCCUCCCGCCGCGACUUUGCCCGCACGGCGCCCACCAACAAGCGCAUCGAUCCGGAGUGAAGGCCGUGGCCCGUGGGGACGCCGGGGUCGCGCGCUGCCGACGUGCCCCUCGGUGCGGCGGAACCUCACCUGAUUGGUCAGCGCGGUGCACGCCGGUGGAUAUGCCCACUGCUGCAAUCCGGCGGCUGUGAAUUCGUGAUCGAUAUUUUUUUAAGUUAAAAUUCGUGAUCGAUAUGUUGUGUCCUUUUCUGAAAAUGGCAGGCGCAACGGCUGGUACAGGGAGCGGUUGCGGUAAAAGGAAAUCGGAAGCCAAUAGCAAUAGCGUUCGCCGUUCGGGACGACUAGAAACGGGGGCGCCAGUGGAUGUCGUGUGAUAGUAUUAGCGUAAGUUAUGUUUUGCAAAUUUAAAAGGCUAUGUAACUAUUUGGAAUUAUUUGGGAAUGAUCUGAUUUUUAACUUUUUUUGUA